rnacentral:lncRNA from 1 species
GCACACAUACCAACACAUACGCAAUUAAGACCAUCUAUACCGUCUUAACAUUCCACAUAUCACCAUAACUCACAAUUGGUACAUAUAUACAUUCGUCACAACACAUCAUCUACGAUUACAUAUACACAUCCAUAACCAUAAAUCAUUCACAAUUCAAUAAGGGUAUACAUAAACAUUCAUACAAUAUAUUAUUCACCAAUAUAGACCAAUCAUCAAAUAGGUACACAUAAAUUU